GGUCAAGUUACAAAGGGCGUAUGGUGGAUGCCCAGGCACUUAGAGCCGAAGAAGGACGCAGCGAGCGGCGAAACGCUCCGGGGAGUCGCAAGCAGACGUAGAUCCGGAGAUUUCCGAAUGGGGAAACCCGCUUAAGGUAAUACUUAAGCAUCCCAUGGUGAACACAUAGCCAUGGGAGGGGAAACCGCGUGAACUGAAACAUCUAAGUAGCGCGAGGAGAAGAAAGAAAACAGGGCCUCCCAGCGGAGAGACUCCGCUGGGAAGGUAGUGUCGAUUUCCUAAGUAGCGGCGAGCGAAAAGGAAAGAGCCCAAACCCGGCACUCAAUUAGGGAUGCUAUACAAAAAGAAAGAAGAAAAAAAUAGCAAUCCUAAUUGAGUGCCGGGGGUUUAGGACCACGAGAAGGUAUAUGGAGUGAAGCCGAACAGACCUGGGAAGGCAGGCCAAAGAAGGUGAAAGCCCUGUAGGCGUAAGCUUUAAAUACCGAGUGGGAUCCAGAGUACCACAGGAUAGGCAACCCGGUGGGAAGACGGGAGGACCAUCUCCCAAGGCUAAAU
rnacentral:rRNA from 1 species